AUUGAACGCUGGCGGCAUGCCUUACACAUGCAAGUCGAACGGCAGCACGGGUGCUUGCACCUGGUGGCGAGUGGCGAACGGGUGAGUAAUACAUCGGAACGUACCUUAUCGUGGGGGAUAACGCAGCGAAAGCUGUGCUAAUACCGCAUACGCCCUGAGGGGGAAAGCGGGGGAUCGAAAGACCUCGCGCGAUUAGAGCGGCCGAUGCCUGAUUAACUUGUUGGUGGGGUAAAAGCCCACCAAGGCGACGAUCAGUAGCUGGUCUGAGAGGACAAUCAGCCACACUGGGACUGAGACACGGCCCAGACUCCUACGGGAGGCAGCAGUGGGGAAUUUUGGACAAUGGGGGCAACCCUGAUCCAGCAAUGCCGCGUGAGUGAAGAAGGCCUUCGGGUUGUAAAGCUCUUUUGUCAGGGAAGAAACACCGGCUCUAACACAGUCCGGGAAUGACGGUACCUGAAGAAUAAGCACCGGCUAACUACGUGCCAGCAGCCGCCGUAA
rnacentral:rRNA from 1 species